CAACCCGUUCUCAUCAGUCUGCGUAUAAAUAACACGACUUUACACUUUCUAUUUGCGUGUAAUGCAUACGCCAAAUGCCAUUUUUGCGUGCAUAUGAUACGCCAAUCCUUCCCAUUAAUUUCGGUGGAGAGCAGAUGCGUCCAAAUAACACGCAUCAUCUUCAGCGGCAGUGACGUCACUAGCGAGGCUCGUUCGGUUCACCUGAUGCGCGUACACCUUCAAACAGGUAAGCAAGGGUAAAUAUAUUUUUUUAUUCUUCUUUUUGUAAUGAUAUCACGUGGUUAAGCGUAUUGUUUUAAUUAUUUCAGUAUUUCUGCAUCACGUUAGACAGGGCCGUGUUUUUAAAGGGCAGUUUAUGCUCCAAUUAUGGGUCAGUGGGCUGCUCAGCUAGCCUACCAUUGUCAUUAGCCUAAGCUAACCUGUACUGUUUAUAGACCUGUUGCAGUUUUAAAUAAAUUUAUGAUGUGGCAUAUGGGUCUUCAGCUUUUAGACAUGACUAAUACAAGCACAACAAAGCACCCAACCCAAUAUCGCGUGAUAAUCGUGAUCGUGUAAAAAGUCCACACAUUUAGCAUAUUUUUACAAUACUAGCCUAACUUUUGCUUGACCACGUCAUGUGUAGCCAAUACACACACAGUAACUACAGCAUAUUUACCAUGCUUCUCCUACUGUAACCGUAGUUUUACUCUGGACUUUGUAACGCACAUAACCACGACAUUUACUAUGGGUUUACCAUAGUAACCAUAGUUUUACUCUGGUAUUUGUAUUUACUAACACACAAUAACCACGACAUUUACUAUGGGUUUACCAUAGUAACCAUAGUUUUACUCUGGUAUUUGUAUUUACUAACACACAAUAACCACGACAUUUACUAUGGGUUUACCAUAGUAACCAUAGUUUUACUCUGGUAUUUGUAUUUACUAACACACAAUAACCACGACAUUUACUAUGGGUUUACCAUAGUAACUUAGUUUUACUCUGGUAUUUGUAUUUACUAACACACAAUAACCACGACAUUUACUAUGGGUUUACCAUAGUAACCAUAGUUUUACUCUGGUAUUUGUAUUUACUAACACACAAUAACCACAACAUUUACUAUGGGUUUACCAUAGUAACCAUAGUUUUACUCUGGUAUUUGUAUUUACUAACACACAAUAACCACGACAUUUACUAUGGGUUUACCAUAGUAACCAUAGUUUUACUCUGGUAUUUGUAUUUACUAACACACAAUAACCACGACAUUUACUAUGGGUUUACCAUAGUAACCAUAGUUUUACUCUGGUAUUUGUAUUUACUAACACACAAUAACCACGACAUUUACUAUGGGUUUACCAUAGUAACCAUAGUUUUACUCUGGUAUUUGUAUUUACUAACACACAAUAACCACGACAUUUACUAUGGGUUUACCAUAGUAACCAUAGUUUUACUCUGGUAUUUGUAUUUACUAACACACAAUAACCACGACAUUUACUAUGGGUUUACCAUAGUAACCAUAGUUUUACUCUGGUAUUUGUAUUUACUAACACACAAUAACCACAACACUUACCAGGAUUUUACCACAGUAACUGUUUUUACUCUACACUAUUUGUAAAGCACAGUAACCACUAAGUUUGCCAUGCCUUUAAUAUCUUUUUGUGAUGUAAUUGUAAUUCAGUGUUUUUUCUGUCUUGCAGUUACGUCAGAUUACAUACUCCACAACAACCUGUAAUCCAGCAGAUCUUUAAAGAAGCCAUCUCUUGUAAAAUCUCUCUCUCUCUCUCUCUCUCUCUCUCUCUCUCUCGCUCUGCUAGAAUUAACAGGGAACUUCAACUCCACGCUCCCAAUGCUGAUAUUGAAGAAGCAGUCAAGGGGGCUGAACAAGUCCUUCAAAGGAUCAACCCUUCACAGGAAGGCCUGUCAUGAGAUUUGAAUUUGACCAUCUUGUGCAUUUAUGAAGAAGACCAAAAGCUGCAAAGGCAAACACUUCCAAUGGAUUUCUCACAGAUGACUUAAUCAUUCUUCAUCAGCUCUUCACAAUAUCAGCCCAUUCAAAAGCUUCCAGAUCUUCCUCUCUUGUGUGACACAUCUGCUCUCAGUCCUUUACUGCCAACCUCCAGUCUUAGCAUUUCUGCUUGUAUUCAUUUUUCCUCUACAUUCAUCACUCCAAUCUCUACUAUAAGCACUCCUGUAUAUAUAUAUAUAUAUAUAUACACAUAAUAAUAAUAAUAAUUAUUAUUAACCAAUUAUUUGUUUUGCAUUUAUUCACAAUAGAAGCAAACAAUGAUUACAGGAUAUAUGUUUUUAAAGGUGAUAAUUGUAAAAUAUUGGAGCAUUGUUCUUAAUCAUUUUUGCCUAUUUGGUUGAUAAAGGGUAGAAAACAAUAUAUUUUCAACUGUAGCCUUGAUUAUUCUUUGGCAUCUUUUGUCAGGAUUUCUGUAAACAAAUUCCCUUUUUAUUUUUGAAUAUUAAACUUAUGUUUUUUGAAGGGAGUUUCUGUUGCAAUUUUGUUUGUUUGUUUUCACUUAGUUACCUCUAUGCAUUUUUUUUUUUAUCAACUUUUCUUUUUUUUUUCAUAGUGGAAUAAACUGGAGAGAGACUGUUCUGGGCACUAUGUUUAUCUGCGAAAAGUUUGACAUAUCAAUAAACACUGUAAAAUGA